AUGCCGGUGGUUAGGGGGGAUGAGAAGUCUGCUUGCCUCGGCGAUUACUCCAAGCUCUGCGGCAAGGACCCCGCGUGCACCACCAUGGUGGAGACGGCCUGCUGCGAUGAUGCCGAUAGCGUCAAGUUCAUCAAGGGCAUGUUCGACGAGCUCGCCACGGUCGGUGGAGACAACAAUGACUUUGCUUCUACGGCAUGGCCGUGGGGGCACGCGGCCCUCCGCGCGGCCGUGGACGAGCACGGGGCCUGCCCCGGCAACAAGACGGUCGGACAAUUUGCUGGUGAGCACUGCAUCAAGGACCUCGACGCGGCAUAA
rnacentral:rRNA from 1 species